UACGGAGGGAGCUAGCGUUGUUCGGAAUUACUGGGCGUAAAGCGCACGUAGGCGGUUACUCAAGUCAGAGGUGAAAGCCCGGGGCUCAACCCCGGAACUGCCUUUGAAACUAGGUGACUAGAAUCUUGGAGAGGUCAGUGGAAUUCCGAGUGUAGAGGUGAAAUUCGUAGAUAUUCGGAAGAACACCAGUGGCGAAGGCGACUGACUGGACAAGUAUUGACGCUGAGGUGCGAAAGCGUGGGGAGCAAACAGGAUUAGAAACCCUUGUAGUCC
rnacentral:rRNA from 1 species